rnacentral:rRNA from 1 species
AUGCCGGAUGCUCCAGUUGAUCGCAUGGUCUUCUGGGAAAGCUUUCGCGGUAUGGGAUGGGGUCGCGUCCUAUCAGCUUGACGGCGGGGUAACGGCCCACCGUGGCUUCGACGGGUAGCCGGCCUGAGAGGGCGACCGGCCACAUUGGGACUGAGAUACGGCCCAGACUCCUACGGGAGGCAGCAGUGGGGAAUAUUGCACAAUGGGCGCAAGCCUGAUGCAGCGACGCCGCGUGAGGGAUGGAGGCCUUCGGGUUGUAAACCUCUUUUAUCGGGGAGCAAGCGWGAGUGAGUUUACCCGUUGAAUAAGCACCGGCUAACUACGUGCCAGCAGCCGCGGUAAUACGUAGGGUGCAAGCGUUAUCCGGAAUUAUUGGGCGUAAAGGGCUCGUAGGCGGUUCGUCGCGUCCGGUGUGAAAGUCCAUCGCUUAACGGUGGAUCCGCGCCGGGUACGGGCGGGCUUGAGUGCGGUAGGGGAGACUGGAAUUCCCGGUGUAACGGUGGAAUGUGUAGAUAUCGAAAAA